AUCCGGUGCUUGCACCGGGGAUUAGUGGCGAACGGGUGAGUAACACGUGAGUAACCUGCCCUUGACUCUGGGAUAAGCCUGGGAAACUGGGUCUAAUACCGGAUAUGACUCCUCAUCGCAUGGUGGGGGGUGGAAAGCUUUUGUGGUUUUGGUUGGACUCGCGGCCUAUCAGCUUGUUGGUGAGGUAAUGGCUCACCAAGGCGACGACGGGUAGCCGGCCUGAGAGGGUGACCGGCCACACUGGGACUGAGACACGGCCCAGACUCCUACGGGAGGCAGCAGUGGGGAAUAUUGCACAAUGGGCGCAAGCCUGAUGCAGCGACGCCGCGUGAGGGAUGACGGCCUUCGGGUUGUAAACCUCUUUCAGUAGGGAAGAAGCGAAAGUGACGGUACCUGCAGAAGAAGCGCCGGCUAACUACGUGCCAGCAGCCGCGGUAAUACGUAGGGCGCAAGCGUUAUCCGGAAUUAUUGGGCGUAAAGAGCUCGUAGGCGGUUUGUCGCGUCUGCCGUGAAAGUCCGGGGCUCAACUCCGGAUCUGCGGUGGGUACGGGCAGGCUAGAGUGAUGUAGGGGAGACUGGAAUUCCUGGUGUAGCGGUGAAAUGCGCAGAUAUCAGGAGGAACACCGAUGGCGAAGGCAGGUCUCUGGGCAUUAACUGACGCUGAGGAGCGAAAGCAUGGGGAGCGAACAGGAUUAGAUACCCUGGUAGUCCAUGCCGUAAACGUUGGGCACUAGGUGUGGGGGACAUUCCACGUUUUCCGCGCCGUAGCUAACGCAUUAAGUGCCCCGCCUGGGGAGUAC
rnacentral:rRNA from 1 species